rnacentral:rRNA from 1 species
GAGUACGUGAAACCGUUCAGGGGUAAACCUGAGAAACCCAAAAGAUCGAAUGGGGAGAUUCAUCGUCAGCAUAUUUAAUAUAUAUAUGAGUUAUGAUGUAGAUUAUGUUUAAUGUUUUACAUUAAUCUAAUUUGCACGUACUUGUAUUAUUUUAUUGUUAAAUAUUGUCGUCGUGCACUUCUCCCCUAGUAGGACGUCGCGACCCGUUGAGUGUCGGUUUACGGCCUAAUUGUGUUGCCUUUAAUAGUAAAAUAUUAAAGACCAAUUGGUGUUUCCUAACCGGCUGCUUGGCGGUACUCGUACGGUAUUGAGUCGCAAAUUUAUUUGCGUUACACCCAUAUACAACUAUUAGUUGUUAUGGUGUUCUGUAACUGGCUCACAAUAUAUAUUACCGGUCGGCGACGCUACUGCUUUGGGUACUUUCAGGACCCGUCUUG